UGGUGCUGCUGCCAACCAUCACAACCUGCAUUUACUCGAAAGGCACAGGACUCUGAAUUUAUGAUGACUUCCUGGUUUCUAAUAUCAAAAAGUUUGGGGAAAACUUCAUCUUGGAUUCAGCCAAGUCCCCACAGGACCACUUCAGCUGCUACACUGAAAACAGGACUUUCUGGCCCCACAGCUAAAGUAGCACGAAGAAUCAAGUUCCAUGCUGGAUCAGGACAAAGGUCCAUCUAGUGCAACAUUCUGCUUCCAACAGCUAGCUGCCUACAAGAGAAGGAAAAGUUAACAGCCUUCUCCUACUGUUGCUCCCCAGCAAUGAUUUUCAGUGGCAAUACUGACUAACAAGCAGAAGGUGGUGGUUUGAAUCUCCGCUGGUACUAUAUUGGGUAGCAGCGAUAUAGGAAGAUGCUGAAAGGCAUCAUCUCAUACUGCGCGGGAGGAGGCAAUGGUAAACCCCUCCUGUAUUCCACCAAAGACAACCACAGGGCUUUGUGGGCGCCAGGAGUGGAAAUUGACUUGACGGCACACGUUACUUUACUUUUCUACCCUUGAGCAUGGAGGUUCCAUUAAGCAUCAUGGCGAACAGCUGCUGAUAGAUUGACCCUCCAUGAGUCUGUUUAAUCCCUUUUUAAAGAAAUCUAAGUCAGUGGCCACCAUCACAUCUUGCUGCAGCGAAUUCCAUAAAUUAAUUACAUGUUGUGUGAA